rnacentral:snRNA from 1 species
AUCGCUUCUCGGCCUUUUGGCUAAGAUCAAGUGUAGUAUCUACAAGGUUUGAAAAUAAUGAGUAGAUUUCCUAGUGUGCCAGUAGUGAAUUAUUGCAUUUCAGUUUCAAAUGUAUCCUUU